CCUGAGAGGUGAUGCGUAGCCGGUUGAGGCGAAUUCAGUGAUCCUAUGCUGCCGAGAAAAGCCUCUAGUGAGUUGGUACACGGCCCGUACCCCAAACCGACACAGGUGGUCAGGUAGAGAAUACCAAGGCGAUCGAGAGAACUGUGGUGAAGGAACUCGGCAAAAUGCCUCCGUAACUUCGGGAGAAGGAGGGCCCGGUCUGGUGAACAUCCUUGCGGUGGGAGCUGGGUUGGGUCGCAGAGACCAGAGAGAAGCGACUGUUUACUAAAAACACAGGUCCGUGCGAAGUCGUAAGACGAUGUAUACGGACUGACGCCUGCCCGGUGCCGGAAGGUUAAGAGGACCGGUUAGUCCCUUUCGGGGGGCGAAGCUGAGAAUUUAAGCCCCGGUAAACGGCGGUGGUAACUAUAACCAUCCUAAGGUAGCGAAAUUCCUUGUCGGGUAAGUUCCGACCUGCACGAAUGGCGUAACGACUUCUCUGCUGUCUCCACCACAGACUCGGCGAAAUUGCAGUACGAGUAAAGAUGCUCGUUACGCGCGGCAGGACGAAAAGACCCCGGGACCUUUACUAUAGCUUGGUAUUGGUGUUCGGUACGGUUUGUGUAGGAUAGGUGGGAGACUGUGAAGCUUGGACGCUAGUUCGGGUGGAGUCGUCGUUGAAAUACCACUCUGAUCGUAUUGGACUUCUAACCUCGGACCAUGAUCUGGUUCAGGGACAGUGCCUGGUGGGUAGUUUAACUGGGGCGGUUGCCUCCUAAAGUGUAACGGAGGCGCCCAAAGGUUCCCUCAGCCUGGUUGGCAAUCAGGUGGUGAGUGUAAGUGCACAAGGGAGCUUGACUGUGAGACCGACAGGUCGAGCAGGGACGAAAGUCGGGACUAGUGAUCCGGCACCGGCAUGUGGAAGCGGUGUCGCUCAACGGAUAAAAGGUACCCCGGGGAUAACAGGCUGAUCUUCCCCAAGAGUCCAUAUCGACGGGAUGGUUUGGCACCUCGAUGUCGGCUCGUCGCAUCCUGGGGCUGGAGUAGGUCCCAAGGGUUGGGCUGUUCGCCCAUUAAAGCGGCACGCGAGCUGGGUUUAGAACGUCGUGAGACAGUUCGGUCUCUAUCCGCCGCGCGCGUCAGAAACUUGAGGAAGGCUGUCCCUAGUACGAGAGGACCGGGACGGACGAACCUCUGGUGUGCCAGUUGUCCCGCCAGGGGCAUGGCUGGUUGGCUACGUUCGGAAGGGAUAACCGCUGAAAGCAUCUAAGCGGGAAGCCUGUUCCAAGAUGAGGUUUCUCACCACUUCGAGUGGGUAAGGUCCCCAACAGACCAUUGGGUUGAUAGGCCGGAACUGGAAGCCAGGUAACUGGUGCAGGUGACCGGUACUAAUAGGCCGAGGACUUACCAAC
rnacentral:rRNA from 1 species